GUACCAUGUGAAGGCCUGGGCAUAUAACAUGAAACAAGAAAGAUAAGGCCCGUGCUUACAUAGAACUUGGUGAAGAAUCUAGACCAUAACAAGCACACAGAGAAAACGUAUCACAAAUUGUGCUAAAGUUCUGUAAAGGGAUUAAGAUGAAGUGUCACAAGACUGAAUUAGACAGAGUGCCCUUGAAAGAGAAAAAUGACAUUUACUGCCUUUGAGCUUCUUUUCAGAAUACUGAGUAUGUUCCUGUGUCACCUUAUUUGCCAAUAGUGCCAAUUUUUAGAAUGGAGGGUGUAGAUCCAUCCUUUGCAACUGGUGAGGACCUCCUCAGUAAGGCACUGAGCCAGGAGUCUAUACAGCCAUGCCAGCAGGGAGCACUGUCUUUCAUUGUCUGAUGUUUAUUGCAAACCUGUUCUUUUCAGCUUUUUGUUGUUUCAGCCUAGUCCAAAGACGUUUACAUCCUGGAAGAGAACUUGCUGGCUUUUCACCUCAGCAUGUAUGGGCCAAACUAAUAUAACAAGAAGUCUUGAGAGGAGUCAGCGGCCAAGCUCCAUGUCUUGCAGCCAAACAAUGCUGUGGGAUGGAAGGUGGGAUGUCAUGUGUCUGGUUUACAGCACUCACGUAUCAGUUGGCAGUUAACGGAAGUGCUACUGAUUGUAACAGUGGAAGCAAUUUGAAAUGAAAUACAACACUUAAAGCAAAUGAAACGGAAGUGAAUGCCAGCAGUAAAUGGCAAGAAGAAAUCCAGUUCAGUGUGUUCCUCAGAAAUCUUGCCUCUUGGGACUAAAUGCUGCAAAUGUAACUCUUAUCCUUGUUUUUCAAGUUUUACCAUCUCAAAGCUAUCCACUUUAUAUUAAAUUAGUUCUGUUAUAUUAUGUCAAUUUGUAUUCUUAAGAGCACAAGUUUGGCCUCAAAUAGACCUGAGCUGAGAUCCAAUUCUUUAAUUUAUCUGUGUUGUUUUCUUUUUCCUUAGCUUUAAAGUGGAAAAAAUGCUACUUACAUUUUAUUUAUGAAGGUUAAAGAUAAAGUGUCUGAUAUGGGACCUAUCAUAUGUGGUAGGCACUUAGUACAUGGUAGCAAUUAUGAUUAUUAUAUCUGAUAUUAGCAUUAUUAUUAUGAUUUGUUUUAAUCUUCAAAGUAUCAACUGUUUCUAUUACAUUUGUGGUAAAUACUCCUAAACAGAGUUUUUAAGUUCAAGUGUCCAAAGUUGUUAGAAACAAAGAUAUUUGACAAUAACAUAAUCAUAUCACAUGACCUCAUGAUUUAACCACCUCCCAAAGUUGCCACCUCCUAAUAUUAUCACCUUGGGGGUGAGGUUUCAACAUAUGAAUUUUAGAGGAACAUAAACAUUCAGACCAUAGCAAUAAUGAAGAUAAAGAGUUUAUUCAUAGAUAAAUGUUAAGAAGUAGAUACUGUUUGUUAGGAGAAGUGUCCACAGUUAGGGAGAAGUUAGAGGUCUGGUGUCAUCUUUGAUUUUUGUGUUUCUUCCGGAACCCUGUUGCCUGGCUUCCUACACUAUUUCUUGUGUCUUUUUCUUGUAGCUAAACUUGAACAUUUUUUCCUUGAGUACCAUUUUACAAUCAACUGUGCUUUUAUGCAGUGGACUUUCACUGAAUGUCCCCUAUUGGAAAUUUUAACAACAAUUUAACAACUAUUUAUUUGAUACUUUCUGUAUAACCAAUAUUAUUGAACAUCCUAGGAACACAUACAUAAAUAAAACUUGA
rnacentral:lncRNA from 10 species